ensembl:lncRNA
AGUCCCCUGCGCAGCCUCCACGGCGGAGCAGCGAGACAAGACGGGGGGCAUUUUACAGCACUCGCCUAGCCACUGACAUCAGAGCCGCCGGCCGCUGGGGCGCUGCCCGAGCUCUCCCCGGCCAGCCCGGGCCGUGCCUCGCGGGGAGCCCGGCUGCGGGGAGCCAGACCAUGGGGAGCAGCGAGCACCGCCUCGGGCAAGGACUGCGAAGCUGCGGGAGCCGGGUGGCCCACGCGGAGCUGCCUGCUGCAGGCUGGCACGGGCCCGAGCCGUGAGCCCGGCUGCCGCGAGGGACGGGGCCGAAGGACUGGCGGUGGCGAUAGCCGAAGACGCGGGUCUGCGCGUGCAAGGUGCCCGGGGCAUCCUCCCUUCCCUCCCGUCCCUGCGGCAGACGCAGAGCCGUGGGGAAGGGGUGGGCAGCUGAGCGGCACGGGCAGGACGGGAGCUCGUCCUCUCCGCCAGCCCCAUGUGGGUGGAGGAAGGAGGGGAGAGGACCGCAGGGAAGGAGAGGACGGGAGCGGAGCUGUGCCAAACCCCCGGAUCCCCCCCAGGGCAGACUGCCUCCGUGAGCGCACCGUGCUGGGAUGCAAUAGUCGGAGCCCAAGGGGCCCCAGGCUGUCCCUGCCCAGCUUGAGCCACUUCCCACCUAUCCUGCCCUGUCUCCCGUCUGUCCCCAAAGUCCUGGUGCUUUUCACUCCUACACUGCUGCUGCCAGGCCCUGGUGGGAGGAGGGACCCUUAGGGGCACUAAUGGCCUCUACUCUGGCAUGUGUGUUCUGAGAAAACACUUGGUUUCUGGAGCAAUGUGAGGAAGAGGGGCUAGCGCAUGCCUCCCUCCCAAAGCCCCCCGUCCCAGGGCUUCGCGUCUGUGCUGGGCCGCUGUGGCCAGGACGUGUGUGCUGUGAGCCCGUCUCACAGUUGCACUGGUGAAGAGUCUGAUCCAGCAUUUUUCUCCUGAGCACAGAGCGAGGGUCGGGAGUGCAGCGACCUGUCGCGUGUUGGGCACUGUGGGAAGGCAGAGAGCAGGCACAGGUCGUGGCAGGCAGUUUGCAGGAGCUACAGCCCUGGAAUACCAAAAUGGAGAACCAGCCUUGUGGGGAACAGGGAUCCGUAGCAUGAGGUGACCUGGGGGGAAUACAGGGACAGAGACUGCCCUGGAUACCUCUUCCCGGCCCUGCGUUAUUUCUCUGGGCGUGGGGCAGAACCAACUGCUUCCUGCUGCCUAGCAGCAAAUUAGCAGCAUGCAUUCGUUAGCUGGGAUUCUGUCCUCUCCGGCAAAUAUCCCCAGUGAGUGGCAGUUUGUAAUGGAGAGGGGAUAAGUUAUCAGGGCACAUUUUCUCCAGAACGUGUGGUUUUCUCCCCCUGACCUCCUUCUCUUUCCGUGAGGCAGUGGGAGCUCGGUAGAGACGCGGAGCAGAAAUCUGUCUCCAGGAGGCCUGCUCUUGCAGAGCCAUUAGCCUGCAGCCUUUGCCCCUGGUGCUGCUAGCAUAGAUUUCACUGUGCUCUAGUGAUGCUUUCACCCAUUCUCUGUCUCUGCUUCUUACAGCUCCUUUAGCGUCCCUAGCCUUGGAGCCUUGCAAAGCUGAGUCAAAGACUAGGGCACUGCCUGGACCAUCUCCUUGUGUGCACGGGUACUGGGGGGGGAAGCACCUGCAGUGGGGGAACACUCUGCUCAGGGUGUUUUGUACCUUAUGAAAAUGGAUGGUAGGGGCAGAUCCCCUUCCCUGCAAGGCAUUUUAUUC